UACGUAGGGUGCAAGCGUUAAUCGGAAUUACUGGGCGUAAAGCGUGCGCAGGCGGUGAUGUAAGACAGAUGUGAAAAUCCCCCGGGCUCAACCUGGGAACUGCAUUUUGUGACUGCAUCGCUGGAGUACGGCAGAGGGGGGAUGGAAUUCCGCGUGUAGCAGUGAAAUGCGUAGAUAUGCGGAGGAACACCGAUGGCGAAGGCAAUCCCCCUGGGCCUUACCUGAGCUGAGGGACGAAAAGCUGGGGGAGCAAACGG
rnacentral:rRNA from 1 species